rnacentral:lncRNA from 1 species
AUUCUAGCAACUUGCAAUGCAUUUAUUUAUUUUAACGACCCUCACAUUUCUGAUUGCAUAAUAGUGAUGAUGGCUUGAGGAUUAUUAUUUGAGAAAGAAUGCGUCCAUUUCCCAAGAAUGUAUAUGUGCUAUAUGUGUUAUACGUAUUAUUUCCCAGGCAGAUUUGUUUUUAUGAUUACUUAUAUCAUCUUCUUAAUUUACCAGAUGAACAUUUAGACAUGAAUAAGUCGUGAGAGAUUCAUAGUUGUUCUAAGCAUUACUUUUGUCAAUGUUACCUUUUAUCUUUUGAGAUUUGACCUAGUAAGAUGUGUGAUUUUUUUUUCACAUUUUUUCUUUUUGUAAAAAAUUAAUCUUUUUUUUUAAUGGUCCACUGGUUAUUCCCCUCCCAGUCUGCCCUCCAACAGUUCCUCAUCCCAUUCCUCCUCCCUCAUCUCCAAGAGGAUAUCCCCCCAGCCCCACCAGGCCUUCCCACUUCCUGGGGCCUCAAGUCCCAGGUUAGGUGCAGCUUCUCUCACUGAGGCCAGACCAGGCAGUCCUCUGCUGUAUAUGUGUUGGGGCCUCAUAUUAGCUGGUGUAUGCUGCUUGAUUGGUGGCUUAGUGUUUGAGAGAUCUCAGAGGUCCAGGUUAGUUGAGAUGGGGUUGCCCUAAGAUGUGUGAUUUUUGAAUGAGCAAUAGUUUAAUGAAUUAGAAAAGAAAGAACUAGAAAGUUUACUCUUAGUGGAGGCUGUAAGACUUCAUAUUCUCCCCAGCUUUGCAUCUUGACUCAGUUGCUCCUAAUGUAUUCUAAGCACAUGUUUUAUGAAGGAAAUCUGAAUUAUGGCCCUUUGGGGAAUUUAAGUUUUCUGUAAUUAUUUCAAAUUAGUUGUCAUUUGAGGUGGUAAAUCUUGUGCAAAUGAUUGCUAUUAUGUCACAAUAUGAUGUUUAUAAAUUCCAUAACACAUUUAGUCAUUGCAGUGUUGUGACUGAUAUGUUAGUUUCUUUUAACAGUUAGAUAUAGAUCUAUUAGAAGUGUAGUUUGUUAAACAAAGUUACUGUUUCAGCAGUCAGCCUUUUAUAUACACAUGUAUGAUGGAAGCAAGGUGCUAAAUAAGCCCAAGUCCUACAGCUGCCAGUUUUACUUAGGUUUGUAACUCUCCAGGUUAUUUUUAUUUCCUUUGAACAAUUGGUUUGCGAUUUUUUUUUUUUUUUUGCUAAUUUGUGUAACUUAACUACCCAGGUAUACAACUUUAUUUAAAGUUAUAGUGUAUGCUUCAGGAACACUCAGAUUGUAACUACCACAUGCAAUCCCAGAAUUUGGGAGGCUGAGAUAGGAGGACUAUGAGUGGAGUCCCAAUCUGAACCAGUAUCUGAAGACCUUGUCCCGAAAAUGUAUUAUGCAAAUUAAUAUAAACUGAUGGCCAUUAAAAAAAGGCCAAAGAUUGUUGUCUUAUAAAGUUUAAGUUACUGCUUUUAAAUUUAUAUUUUGUGUAACACCUAAGCCACCUGAUCCUUGCCCUUUAACUAUGGAAAAUAGGAAGGAUAGCCAGGGCUUCAAGGGAAAGAGAAGGGUGCUUCUGGGGGAUGAUUGUUUUCGCUCCUGGGUUUUGGCUGUCUAAUUUCAUUUGGCUUCAGGCUUCUCCUUUAGCUCUCAAAAUGUAUAGAGGCUUUUAGGAAUCUAAGUAGCAAGGCUUUUACACAGCCCAAGGUAACUUUUACUUCCAUUAACCUUUAUUGAUAUACUGCUCAACACAUCAUAUUUAAAACCAUAGUGUAAGGUAUUUUUAUUUUGUUUUGAUUUGUUUUCCCUAGGAAAAUAAGUCUUCUUUCCCAUUCCUUCUGUCAUGGUACAUUGAGAGAAAAAGCCUUUAGCAGAAGAGACAACCACAUUAAUUUAACGUCUUAUGAUGUUAGUAAGGUUUAUUGGAGCCCUGCCUCCUGGUCCCUGAGAAUUUAAAAUGGGGUAGAAUGUACAGAAAAAGGUAUUUGUGGUUAACAGUCCUCUAGGAUAACCUCACCAGUGCUUUUGCUGUGGAAAUGAAGUAUCACAUAACAAAUACAUUAGCUUAAACAGUGUCUUUGUAUUAUGCUUGAGAAACU